CUGCCACAUUCUGCAUCCUAAACCUUAUCAGAAGAUAAUCCAUCUCCUGACUCCUCCCACCCAUCCCUAAUUGAUUCAGAGCCUGAGUAGGGAGGAGGCUUCCUGUUUGUUGAGUACAGUCUACGACUUGUUUCACGUACGCAUUCAGGGACACUUCAUCUCCACAAGGCCUCUCAUGACCCUGCUCCUCCAGUCUGCCCCGAGUCCUUCGCGCUGCAUCGGAUGACGGAUCGCAUAGAAGCUCUUACCCUGGGCGCCCCUGCUGGAACAGCUGGUCGCCUUGGGGAUCCACAGAGAUCCCCAAGGAGCAGGCUGAGGGAAGUCACAAAAAUGACAAAAGGCAAGGAAGCUAGAUUUACAACAGCAGCCUCACCCUGAGCUGGAUCAUGGUCACAUCUGCCCUCACCCCUCCCCAUCUCACUUGUGACCUUCUAUGCCCAC
rnacentral:lncRNA from 1 species